GGUAAAUUAGUCUUUUAAAUACUAAUUAUAUUUUAACUCCCUCACGUUAAUUACAUUUUAGUCCUUUAUUUUUGACCAACCAAAUCUUAAAUAAUUAUUUAGUAGUUACAUUUUCCUCUUUAAAUGGGUUAAAGGUACAAAUGUUAAAGUGUAAUAUACAACUAACUACAGCAAAGAAACUUUCAAAAGGUUGACCAGAGAUCAGAGAUCGAUACAGAAAUAGAGCGGGUCAACAUCUUCCUGUUAGUCAAAAACCACUGCCAUCACAAUUUUGGGGGUCAUAAUAUUUUCAAAACCAUUCAUCUCUCUCUCUCUUUCACCUCAAAGAUACAAAUCGAGAUCUAGGAGGCAAUCAGAAUAACAAUCUGAUUCAGUUGCUAGCUGAUUCGUCUGAUUCUUUCUCAUCAGAUCAGUGUUUCAAAUUUAGCCCUUGUUGGUGCAUUUAUGACUAAACCGGAAGCUGGGUCACCUGUCACCAAGCACCUGCCGCUUUUAUCUUCUACUCACCUACCCAGAGGUUUUCUUCAUUCUACACAAAUACAGAGAUCAGAGAUCGAUACAGAAAUAGAGCGGGUCAACAUCUUCCUGUUAGUCAAAAACCACUGCCAUCACAAUUUUGGGGGUCAUAAUAUUUUCAAAACCAUUCAUCUCUCUCUCUCUUUCACCUCAAAGAUACAAAUCGAGAUCUAGGAGGCAAUCAGAAUAACAAUCUGAUUCAGUUGCUAGCUGAUUCGUCUGAUUCUUUCUCAUCAGAUCAGUGUUUCAAAUUUAGCCCUUGUUGGUGCAUUUAUGACUAAACCGGAAGCUGGGUCACCUGUCACCAAGUCUGAUUACGAUAGGCAGAAAUUAUCAACAGAUCCCUUCAUAGAAAGGAAAAUGGAGUUUUUGAUUGAAAGCGUGGAUGAUCUCUCAAUGGAACAUUAAAAGUUCUAUUUUUUCUAUCACAGUCUGUCACGUCAACAAGCCUAGCAAGAAACAUGGCUUCAAAAGUGAAGGUACCUGCAUUUGAUGUUUGAUAAUGCUACUGUGGAUACUUACAGCUAAGAAUUGGAUCUUUAAGCACAUAUGGAAUGCAUUCUUAUGAUCUUAAUUCACCUUUUACGUGGAUCACCUAUUUAUUAUUGUUUGGCUUCUUGUAUAUGUUUAAUAGGGCUGAAAUAAUGGCCCAUGUUAAGCAUAGAAGUUGGGGGGUAUUGGUACUAGAGAUAUUAGAAGUGCUAAUCUUAUGUUGCUAGCAAAAUGGAUGUGGAAACUUAAAGACAGGCCUACGACUUUAUGGGUUAAGGUGGUGGUUCCGAUCAAUGGUAGUUCAAGAGUGGUUGGGCAAUUCCCCCUGAAAAAACGGUAUUUGUGAGAUGUGGAAAGACAUCUGCUCUGUUGAGAAAAGUUUUAUGCUUUGAGCCUUCCAAUUGGCGACGGGGGUAAAACUAUGUUUUGGAUGGAUAACUGGGUUGAGGGCGGUCCCUUGUGGAGGAGAUUCCCGGCGGGUUUUGUACGCGCUAAAAAUAAAGAGGUUGUGGUUUCUUAGUGUAGAACGAUAUUGGGCGAGGGAUGGGUCUGGUCUUAGGAAUGGAAAACGAGUUCAAGUUCCGAAGCCUUCUGGUCACAGUUUGACACACUAGCAGCUUGUCUUGGGGCUGUGCAGAUCAGAGACGGGGCAGACAGAUGGACUUGGGGGUCUUACUCUGAUGUAAACUUCACGAUGGCGGGUGUCUGAGCAGACAUUGUCAAAGCAUUGAACUUGGAUCCAGCUGAGGGAUGGGGAUCGUGGAACAAGUGGGCGCCUGCAAAGCUGAAUUUCUUUAUGUGGCGUGCCUUCGCUGACAGAACCCGGUCAAAACGACUCCGAGGCGAAGGGGCGUCACGCUUUCGGAUACCCUUUGUCGCUUAUGCAGGUUCAAAGAAGAAAGUGCGACCAUAUUUCUUGCCUCUUGCGUUCUCUCUCGCGCUAUUUGGUGGAAUGUUAUGGUCAGACCAGAAUCCCUUUUCCCUCAGGUCAGUUUUCUUUAAAGGGUGUGGGGUUUGUUUGAUAAGCUCGUAGGGUAAAAGAUGUGGAAGAAAGUAGUGGGCAUGAUCUUCUUAACAACGGUUUGAAUAUGGAAACCAGAAAUGAGAAAGCGUUUCGCAACAAAAGGUUCAAGGUCUCGGAAGUGGUUGAAAGCAUAAAGGAAUACUCUUUUCUGUCCUUAGGGUGCAGGGCCUCUUUUAAAUCGCUGGACUGGAAUAAAUGGGGUGACUUAACAUAGGCGCUGUAAUAUGAUGUCCUCUUUUAUGUUCUGUUUUGAACUGUAUGUUUGUUCGGGUGCCCAACGGCUAGCUGCCCCAGUGUUCUAUUGAUUUAAUAGAAUGUGGUUGUUCAGAAAAAAAAAAAAAAAAAAAAAAAAAAAAAAAAAAA